rnacentral:rRNA from 1 species
UACGUAGGGUGCGAGCGUUGUCCGGAAUUAUUGGGCGUAAAGAGCUCGUAGGCGGUUUGUCGCGUCUAUCGUGAAAACUGGAGGCUUAACUUUCAGCGUGCGGUGGAUACGGGCAGACUUGAGUUCGGUAGGGGAGACUGGAAUUCCUGGUGUAGCGGUGAAAUGCGCAGAUAUCAGGAAGAACACCCGUGGCGAAGGCGGCUCUCUGGGACGGUACUGACGCUGAGACGCGAAAGCGUGGGGAGCAAACAGG